UACGUAGGGUGCAAGCGUUGUCCGGAAUUAUUGGGCGUAAAGAGCUCGUAGGCGGUCUGUCGCGUCGGCUGUGAAAACCCGAGGCUCAACCUCGGGCCUGCAGUCGAUACGGGCAAACUAGAGUACUGCAGGGGAGACUGGAAUUCCUGGUGUAGCGGUGAAAUGCGCAGAUAUCAGGAGGAACACCGGUGGCGAAGGCGGGUCUCUGGGCAGUAACUGACGCUGGAGGAGCGAAAGCGUGGGGAGCGAACAGG
rnacentral:rRNA from 1 species